CUAACGGAAUACAAUAUUUAAUGCGUAUAUUUAUGUGGAUAUUUCUGGACUGAAGCUUUGGAAAUGGAAAUAUUUCACUCUUCUCUGACAUCAUUUUAACAGAAAUUCACAGCUCUGCCUGAAAUAAAACCAAUAUGAGACUUCUGGGGGUGGCAGAGCUGCGAGGGGUUCUGUUUGGGUUCAGCGCCCAGGAACGGUUCCUGAGGAAUAACUUGCCCUUAUGUGCCCCUAUAGCACCGUAUCCCUGCCCCCCCAUACUCUGCCCCUGCCCAGCAUUAGCUCCCCCCGGCCAUGUUAUUCCCUAGUCUCACUGACCCACUCCCCUAAUUAGUGCUCACAUACACCCCCAUUUCUCAUCCUGAUUGUAACCCAAAUAACCCCUGUGCCAAGAGCUUGCAGUCGGGAACCUAUAAUGUCUGGUUUUGCUGUAAGGCCCCGGAAACAUAAACAUUCUAAAAUUAA